UGCAGAAGAGAUGAAAUGUGGUCUUAAGGACGAUAUGAAUGUGAAAGACUUCCAAGAGAACAAGUACCUCCUCAAAGUCACCCCAGUGAUGAAUCUGGUUAUAGAUGGACAAGAGAUGAUCAUUCUGCAAGCCGACAACCUGAAUACAGGGACGUGAGAGAUGGUUUUAGAAGAAAAAGUUUCUACUCUUCCCAUUACGUGAGAGACCGGUCUCCUCAUAAAAGCGACGCUCCUUUUUUUCAGAGAAUCACCUGUUGGCCGAAAGAAUUCUCCACACAGUAGAUCUGGCUCCAGUGUCAGUAGUAGAAGCUACUCUCCAGAAAGAAGCAAAACAUACUCUUUCCAUCAAUCUCAACAUAGAAAGUCCGUGCAUCCUGGUGCCUUCUUCUACAAACGACAGAAUGAAGGAAAGCCAGAAAGAGGUAGAGACCUGUCCAGUCUUUGAAAACAUCAAGAGGCACUUAACCCUCAAGUUCUUCAGCAGUUCCUUCAUCAGAGGUGUUAGACAAACCCAGUAGGCUCAGUGAAAAGGAACUUGUUGAGGCUGCAAACAAGUGGGCUGCUGAAAACUAGAGAAGUCAGAUGAGAGUAGCUUGCCUGAAAUUUCCGAGUUUGAGACUGGAUCCACAGCACCGUUGUUCAUUGACUAGCCAGAAGAACCCCAGUCAAAUGCAACAGAUGGCACAGAAUUACUUGAAGACAGCCAGCUAACCAGUCGCUCUAAAGCAAUAGCAUCAAAACCAAAGAGAUCGAAGAUGUUUACAGACAAGACUGUGAAACUUUUGGGAUGGUGGUGAAAAUGCUGAUUGAAAAAGAUCCUUCAUUAGAAAAGUCUAUACAGUUUGCCUUUAGGCAGAAUUUACAUGAAAUAGUGAGUAGUGUUGAAGAACUCAAGCAUUUCAUUGCAGAGUAUGAUACUUCUACUCAAGAUUUUGGAGAGCCUUUUUAGGUUACUUGCUCAGACAAGAAAAAAAGAAAAACAAUUUCUAGAUUUUUUCCCCCUUGGAUUGUGUAAAUCCUUAAUAUAUGGAAUUUUUGUGAUGAAGAGAAAUACUUUAUGAUAGUUGACUAUACUUUCAAUAUCAAAUUAAUAUCCAAAAUAGUCUGCUUAAAAUAUUUUAAUUAGAAUUGUUUUUCUACGUGUAGAG